rnacentral:rRNA from 1 species
CACUACGUUGAUAGGCUGGGUGUGGAAGCGCGGCAACGCGUGCAGCUGACCAGUACUAAUAGCUCAAUUGGCUUGAUUUAUG